UACAGAGGGUGCAAGCGUUAAUCGGAAUUACUGGGCGUAAAGCGUGCGUAGACGGUUAUGUAAGUCAGAUGUGAAAGCCCCGGGCUUAACCUGGGAAUGGCAUUUGAGACUGCAUAGCUAGGGUGCGGAAGAGGGAAGCGGAAUUUCCGGUGUAGCGGUGAAAUGUGUAGAGAUCGGGAGGAACACCGGUGGCGAAGGCGGGUCUCUGGGCAUUUCCUGACGCUGAGGCGCGAAAGCGUGGGGAGCAAACGGGG
rnacentral:rRNA from 1 species